rnacentral:rRNA from 1 species
UACAGAGGGGGCAAGCGUUGUUCGGAAUUACUGGGCGUAAAGGGCGCGUAGGCGGCCUUCUAAGUCGAACGUGAAAUCCCUGGGCUCAACCCAGGAACUGCGUCCGAUACUGGAAGGCUUGAAUCCGGGAGAGGGAUGCGGAAUUCCAGGUGUAGCGGUGAAAUGACGUAGAUAUCUGGAGGAACACCGGUGGCGAAGGCGGCAUCCUGGACCGGUAUUGACGCUGAGGUGCGAAAGCGUGGGGAGCA